rnacentral:lncRNA from 1 species
UGGGCCUUUUCCCUGUGUGCCAUUAUAAAAGAUGCUCGAUUCCCCUGUGCCAUUAAAAAGUUCGCUCGUCCCUGUGUGACCAGACACUAAUUUCUUUUGUCCUGUGUGCCAUUCCGUUGCCUUUCUGUUUGUUUUUGACCGUUUGGGUGCUCUGACGUGUGGGACCGGGCUGAGAAAAAGACCACACUGCCCUUUCGCUGGUGAGAAACAGGAGGAGCGCCUGGGCCUGGGCAAGCUCCAUCUGGCUGCUGGAAGGCGGGACGCAAGCGGCGCGCCACGCUAAGCACACGCAAUUAUUAAUAU